AAAUGGAACGAGUUGCCCAACGAUUGCUGCCGCAUGCGAUCUACCGCGAAGGAGGCAAUCUAGGUGCACUUGGUGGUCUGGCUAGAGGCAUUUUAGCCCGCCAAGGUCCGCUGUAAGAUCGCUGGGUCAUUACAGCGGCAUAAAUGCACGGGAUCCGGCCGGUUUCUCUCGACGAAAGUGAAGCAGAAGCGCGCGGGAGAAAACUUCACUCACCUGGUGAGCGCGUCGCUCCAGCUGAACAUCCUCUUGAUCCUCUCCCUGUGCUUCGGGUCGGUCUCGAUCUCCAUCACGCCGUCUCUCUCUGUCUGCUGUCCCUCUGGAGGUGGAUGAAAGCCGGAAAUCGAUCGAGAUCUCGUUCCCUUCUCAGAGACGAUGCAUCGUUUCCUCCGGUUCUCGCCGCUUGGAAUACGUCACCGUGAUCCUCGUGCGCGAUUGUCACGCUGUAAAGUCGAACACCGUUUCUUUAUGGUUCUCUGGUUCCUCGACGCCGCGGAAGUGGUUUUUCUCUACUCCGGCUUCGCCGGAUUACACGUUAGCCGGCAAAUAAAACGACUUAUCGAACGCGGCGCCGUACGAAAGUGCCGAGAUCGAGCGUCAUUACCCGCGGUAAAGCCGCGAGGAGACAGACUCUCGUCCUCGCGAAACCGAAGGCGAACGGUCUCUACGUGUGUCCAGUGACUGCGCAACAUUUCUGACAGACGACCAUGCUGGUUAAUGAUAUUGUUCUCUUUUAUUAACGCCAUCGCUGUCCGGACGAACGCACGACGUGCCUCCGAGUUCUAGGAAAACAAUGAUUUGCAGUUCUUCUGCGUGCGGAAGCUCCCCGACCACGCGCGGAGCGAUCGUUGCCCGUCGCUGCGACGAGGGCCGAAAGUCGGCAGAAUCGCGCGAAGGAUUUACAGGAGGAUCGGAAACGUCCUCGACAUUUUUACCAGACACCGGUCACUACGGAAUUCCUGGGAAGGAUGUAACAGUUCGCGGAUGCUGAUAUUUAAAUGUUCGACGAGAAAAAUGCUUGCGCAUUCCUCGGUGCUUCGUUCGUCGACGAACAUCAUCCCUGUGUCCUUUCGAAUCAUUUUUUUCAUUGGGAACAACAACAACAUUUUUCAUUGGAAACGACGACAACAUUUUACAGAGGUAACGUCGGCGACGUAUUUACAGACGCAACGCCGGCUACAUCUUUCAGCGAUAAGUGUCAUGGCGAGUCUGAUCGGUGCCUCAGAGCCGCCAUUCGGGUGCAAAAGGGUUGAGACAGCGGGAUCGUUGGUUCACGACAACGGCUGAAAGCGAAACUGUUUUACAACGUGCGUGCACGUUCGACGGCGUUACGAAGAAAGCGUGCUGUAUAACAAUCCGCCUUUGGAAUAGAAAAUCCGUCCGUCUAA